rnacentral:misc_RNA from 1 species
CGUGGGAGCUGGCUUGCCUGCGAUACAGGCACCGCGGUAGUUCCAGUAAUACCGCGGUGAUGCUAUCGCAGGCAAGCCAGCUCCCACA